rnacentral:tRNA from 1 species
CGGGUAUCGUAUAGUGGCAAUACCCCAGUUUUCCAAACUGGCGCCAGGGGUUCGAUUCCCCUUACCCGCUCACCA